UUCCCUGAGGUCCAGUAAGGUUAGGACACUAUGCUUUCACUGUGGUGGACCAGGUUCAAUCCCUGGUGGGGGAA
rnacentral:tRNA from 1 species